UGAGUGAGUGGCGGACGGGUGAGUAACACGUGGGUAACCUGCCCUAAAGUGGGGGAUAACAUUUGGAAACAGAUGCUAAUACCGCAUAAAACCUAGCACCGCAUGGUGCAAGGUUGAAAGAUGGUUUCGGCUAUCACUUUAGGAUGGACCCGCGGUGCAUUAGUUAGUUGGUGAGGUAAAGGCUCACCAAGACCGUGAUGCAUAGCCGACCUGAGAGGGUAAUCGGCCACACUGGGACUGAGACACGGCCCAGACUCCUACGGGAGGCAGCAGUAGGGAAUCUUCCACAAUGGACGAAAGUCUGAUGGAGCAACGCCGCGUGAGUGAAGAAGGUUUUCGGAUCGUAAAACUCUGUUGUUGGAGAAGAACGUAUUUGAUAGUAACUGAUCAGGUAGUGACGGUAUCCAACCAGAAAGCCACGGCUAACUACGUGCCAGCAGCCGCGGUAAUACGUAGGUGGCAAGCGUUGUCCGGAUUUAUUGGGCGUAAAGCGAGCGCAGGCGGUUUCUUAAGUCUGAUGUGAAAGCCUUCGGCUCAACCGAAGAAGUGCAUCGGAAACUGGGAAACUUGAGUGCAGAAGAGGACAGUGGAACUCCAUGUGUAGCGGUGAAAUGCGUAGAUAUAUGGAAGAACACCAGUGGCGAAGGCGGCUGUCUGGUCUGUAACUGACGCUGAGGCUCGAAAGCAUGGGUAGCAAACAGGAUUAGAUACCCUGGUAGUCCAUGCCGUAAACGAUGAGUGCUAGGUGUUGGAGGGUUUCCGCUCUUCAGUGCCGCAGCUAACGCAUUAAGCACUCCGCCUGGAGAGUACGACCGCAAGGUUGAAACUCAGAGGAAUUGACGGGCGCCCGCACAAGCGGUGGAGCAUGUGGUUUAAUUCGAAGCAACGCGAAGAACCUUACCAGGUCUUGACAUCCUUUGACCACUCUAGAGAUAGAGCUUUCCCUUCGGAGACAAAGUGACAGGUGGUGCAUGGUUGUCGUCAGCUCGUGUCGUGAGAUGUUGGGUUAAGUCCCGCAACGAGCGCACCCUUAUUACUAGUUGCCAGCAUUUAGUGGGCCCUC
rnacentral:rRNA from 1 species